AUUUGAGAGCCUGAGGUAUCGGGCAAGAAAUCCUCACUCCUUAUUUUUCUGCACUUCACAGUGAGAGGGAAUGAUGGCAAGCACAGAAAUCCUGACAGAUUUCACCAUCAUUCUGCUUGGCCUGGAGUCACUUACAGUCCCCAGUGCUUGCCUGCUUACUAUAAAUAACAUCCUGUCAGGGAAAAAAAAAAAGAAAGAAGAAAGAAAGAAAAGAAAGAAAGAAAAGAAUUUUCAGCUUCUUAGUUGCUGGCAAUAGGAAAGUGUUUUCACGCUGUUUGUCAAGUAUUUGAGGCUCUGCCUUAGACUUCUAUAAUAAUUACUAUAAUAAACACAGAUUGGUUGUGGGCUUUGCAAGCCAUCCAGUGAAGGAAGCGCUCAAACAGGCUCAGCUGCAGAAAGGGAGCAAUACAGGCUGAUGUAGUCAGAGAGAAAAGACUACAGGAAAAAAAGUGAGAGUUAAUCAGAAACCCUGAGGGUUUGGGAGGAAAAGAGCUUAUGAGUGAGAGGAAGACAUAUUCUGAUGGAGCACAGCCAAGCACAGUGCCCGUGGGCAAUGGUGAUCCCAAUGAAGUGGUGAGCAUGCUCUCAGCAGGUGGAAAGCAGUUCUGGUCCUACAGAAGAAUUCUAGCAGCACUCACAUGCCCAGAGAUACCUGGUGAAAGCAACACAGAGGAGAGAGAUUGUCCAAAAGACACUUUUUAGCACAGAAAAAUAAAGGAGAGACCCUUCCAUGUGACCGACACGUGGAGUUCUGCAUCGCCAAACCACUACCACAACAUAAAGGUGGUAACCUGGCAGCUGUCCUACACAGUGGUAACAUUUGUGCAGCAACGUUCAUGGAAAUAUGUAAUAAGUAGUAUUUUAAAAAUGCACUAAAAUAAACAAACAAAUGAGGACAGGCCUUUGAGGGCGGCUUUAGUGCUAUUUCUUUUAUACAUGCCUAUACUAGGAAAGUAACGUAAUUUUUUUGGCAGAAGCUGUGUUUUUUGAGGGCAGCCAUUAAGCACCUGUUGCCCUCACUGCAGUAAGGCAGAGCUUCCCACCACGAGAUACGGCUUUUCCCACAUGCAGCUCCCAUAGUUUGUCUGCUUUCCAUACUCCAGCACUUACUGUGUGUUUAUCUUUUUGAUAACUCUGACCAAAAAAUUGGCAAGGGACUUCAACUCCAGAGUUAAAUAAAAAUCACUCUUUUACAUACAAUUUUUUAAAGUAGGACCCUUUGCAGUGACUGUGGUCCAACAGAGUACUUAUCUGAGGUUUGUCUCCCUGGGAAUCUCUUUCUGAAAGGAGAGGCAGUCUUGAAAUGACAGGUCAAGGCACAUGGACCAGAGCAACAAGCAGAGUACUCAGGGAUAUCCAAACACAUUUGACGUUGGCAUCCACUAACAAGACUGUCAAGCGCCUGUCGAAAUGCAAAUGUUUUUGUUGUGAGGUUUGGCAGUACCUAUGAGCACUGCUGACAGUUUGUUAAAAAUAACCCCAGAAAUGCAUCCUUUCUAGGUCAAAACUGACUAUGAAGCUGAGUGCACUGUAAUUACAGUGCACUAAAUGAGUUACAGCUUGAGCUAAUCACACCCCACUGCACUAAAAGCUGUAAUUACACACAGAGAGAGUGAGC
rnacentral:lncRNA from 1 species